GAUGAACGCUGGCGGCGUGCCUAAUACAUGCAAGUCGAGCGAGCGGCGGACGGGUGAGUAAUGUCUGGGAAACUGCCUGAUGGAGGGGGAUAACUACUGGAAACGGUAGCUAAUACCGCAUACCCUCAGAUGUGCACAGAUGGGAUUAGCUAGUAGUGGGGUUAACGGCUCACCUAGGCGACGAUCCCUAGCUGGUCUGAGAGGAUGACCAGCCACACUGGAACGUAGACACGGUCCAGACUCCUACGGGAGGCAGCAGUGGGGAAUAUUGCACAAUGGGCGCAAGCCUGAUGCAGCCAUGCCGCGUGUAUGAAGAAGGCCUUAGGGUUGUAAAGUACUUUCAGCGGUGAGGCGUUACCCGCAGAAGAAGCACCGGCUAACUCCGUGCCAGCAGCCGCGGUAAUUC
rnacentral:rRNA from 1 species